GUUCCUCAUAGAACGACAGGCCGAAGUAAGUACAUGAAAAGAGUGCUCUUUCAACACUGCAUGGCAAUAUAAACAGUAUAUGCCUCAAAUUUUGAAGAAUCCUCAAUUCAAAUCCAGACUGCGGCAGCCCUACCAUGUAGCUGUUGGACUCGUAUGGGAUAACAAUAAUCAAAAGUCA